rnacentral:rRNA from 1 species
GAGUAAUGCGUGACCAACCUGCCCCAUGCUCCAGAAUAGCUCUUGGAAACGGGUGGUAAUGCUGGAUGCUCCAACUUGACGCAUGUCUUGUUGGGAAAGUGUUUAGUGGCAUGGGAUGGGGUCGCGUCCUAUCAGCUUGUAGGCGGGGUAAUGGCCCACCUAGGCUUCGACGGGUAGCCGGCCUGAGAGGGCGGACGGCCACAUUGGGACUGAGAUACGGCCCAGACUCCUACGGGAGGCAGCAGGU